rnacentral:rRNA from 7 species
UUUCCGUAGGUGAACCUGCGGAGGGAUCAUUA